GAUGAAGAACGUAGUGAAAUGCGAUACGUAAUGUGAAUUGCAGAAUUCAGUGAAUCAUCGAGUCUUUGAACGCACAUUGUGCCCCCUGGUAUUCCGGGGGGCAUGCCUGUCCGAGCGUCAUUGCUGCCCUCAAGCACGGCUUGUGUGUUGGGCCUCCGUCCUCCUCCCGGGGGACGGGCCCGAAAGGCAGCGGCGGCACCGCGUCCGGUCCUCGAGCGUAUGGGGCUUCGUCACCCGCUCUUGUAGGCCCGGCCGGCGCUUGCCGACACAUCAAUCUUUUUUCCAGGUUGACCUCGGAUCAGGUAGGGAUACCCGCUGAACUUAAGCAUAUCAAUAAGCGGAGGA
rnacentral:misc_RNA from 1 species